rnacentral:tRNA from 2 species
GGGGGUGUAGCUCAGGGGUAGAGCAUUUGACUGCAGAUCAAAAGGUCCCUGGUUCAAAUCCAGGUGCCCCUU